AUGUGCAGUCCAAUAAAGAAGGAAAAGGAAUUCGAAGAGAGAGGAUAUAUGUUGCCGACCAUCCACCAUCGGCCUCACUCUGUUUCAGAUCUACUCCUCCACAAAUCACCUCGGACAUUCUCCGAUUCGCAUAACCACCUGCACACCAUUCCAGAUCCACCGCGAUAUUUUGUCGCUAACUCUUUUGUUAUCAUUGACGCUAUAUUAAAAUUGGGGUUUUCUUUGUUUUCUUGUUUGAGUCAUUUUGAGAUGGGUUGUGAAGGAAAUUGUAGAAGAAGGAAAAUAUUGUUGUUA